CAGCAGUGGGAAUCUUGGACAAUGGGCGCAAGCCUGAUCCAGCCAUGCCGCGUGAGUGAUGAAGGCCUAGGGUCGUAAAGCUCUUUCGCCGAGGGAUGAUAAUGACAGUACCUGGUAAACGAAACCCCGGACUAACUCCGUGCCAGCAGCCGCGGUAAUACGGAGGGGUUAGCGUUGUUCGGAAUUACUGGCGUAAAGCGCGCGUAGGCGGACUGGAAAGUUGGGGUGAAAUCCCGGGGCUCAACCCGGAACUGCCUCCAAAACUCCCAGUCUUGAGUUCGAGAGAGGUGAGUGGAAUUCCGAGUGUAGAGGUGAAAAUUCGUAGAUAUUCGGAGGAACACCAGUGGCGAAGGCGGCUCACUGGCUCGAUACUGACGCUGAGGUGCGAAAGUGUGGGGAGCAAACAGGAUUAGAUACCCUGGUAG
rnacentral:rRNA from 1 species